rnacentral:rRNA from 1 species
ACGGCCCUGAGAAAAUGGCUUGUUUAAAGUGAGCAUUUAGGUAAGGGGGGGUUUUGGGGGUUAAAGUGCUGGACUUAGAGGCUGAAAAUUUAGGUUGGUGGUAGAAAGGCAUGUACAGAAAAGUGGGAGACUACAAUUUACGCUAAUACCCCCCUAAACCCACACACCUAGAAACGUAUUUCUAAUUUGGAAAAAAGUAAAAUUUUGAGGGGGGGCUAAAACUAAUAUUGAUUUAUAGAUGUCACCAAUGUUUACCGUAAAUAUCUCAGGGAGCGGUUAGGCUUUAGGACUCAUACUCCUAAGAUGUAUUUCUCUGAUAAUCAUUCAUUAAGGGAUUUUCAAACACAUAGCUAAAUUUAUAGCAGAAAUUUAAUUGCCUGCUGUAUUAACAUGGUAAUUUAUGAGAGUAAAUGCAGAAAUGCUAUUAACCUAGUGAAAGUUGUGCCAGCGGCUGCGGUUAAACAGCUGGGGGUGUUUGAUGCGUUUAUUGUGGGAGUUUAAGAAGGGCUUAUAGUGGUGAAAUAUGUGUAAGUUGAAACAACCCCUGUAGGGUAGAUUUAUAAAUCAGAUUAGAUACCUGAGUAUUCUACGUAUGCAAUAAUGAUAUGGGGAAGAUCUAAAUAAUGUGGCGGUGCUCUUGAAAGGUAGGGGGACUUGGGUGUGGAUAAUAAACCUGAAGUUAGUUGGCUUGAUGGCCUCUUGUAUGAUUGAGUAUUUUUGGUAGAAAUUACUCAAAUGCCAUAGGGGCUAAGUUAAUUCGCCUGAGUUUUAAGGUUAAUUUAAAUAAAGGAUUUACGAGUAGUUGAUGACAAAUGAAGGUAUCAGGAGUGAGUACAUAUCGCCCGUCAACACCUUACAGGUGUAAGUCGUAACAUAGUGAUCCUACUUGAAAGUGGGGUUACUU